CCUAGAUUUCAGAACAUCUGCCACUUGUUACCUUGCUGCUCCAGCAAUGCAUAUGUUUCAGGAUCCUGAGAUAGAUGUUCCAUAGACCCAAGGGCUAGGGCAGCAUGGAUCAUAAUGUGACAUAAAUUACGACUAGAGAUCAAAGACUACUUGGACAGAACCAUGUAGGACAGCCCUGCAGAACCUACCUGCCCCUUGGACCUUCUUAAUGGAGAUUGAGAGAAACCCAGAUUAUAAUACAGCCCUCCAAGAUCUGAACUUCCCCUACAAACCCAAUCUAAGAGACAGUCUCCCAGCCCUCAGGACCACAGAGGCCUGCCCAAGCUGGAAGAAGCAAUUGCAAAGGAAGUCCUUCU